CCCUUAGAUGUCCUGGGCCGCACGCGCGCUACACUGAGUGUCUGAGAUACGAGUCUGCCUGGUCCGGCAAGGUCUAGGUAAUCGCUAAAAGACACAUCAUGCUUGGGAUAGAUUAUUGCAAAUAUUAAUCUUGAACGAGGAAUUCCUAGUAAGCGCAAGUCAACAGCUUGCGUUGAUUACGUCCCUGCCCUUUGUACACACCGCCCGUCGCUACUACCGAUUGAAUGGUUUAAUGAGAUCUUCGGAUUGGCUUCCUUGGUACCCUAACAGGUCCAAGGUUAGUCGAAAAGUUGCUCAAAUUUGAUCAUUUAGAGGAAGUAAAAGUCGUAACA
rnacentral:rRNA from 1 species